rnacentral:misc_RNA from 1 species
AUUUGAAUGUCUAAACAUCCCACUAUCAAAUCAUGUUAAGUUAGUUUAGUUCUGAUCUUCAAUGUGGAGUCGGAUAAUGAACAAUAAUAGUACAAACAAAAUUAGAUGCAAUUUUGUCACUAAUAAAAUAUUGAAAUGUUGGGAGGAAUACCAUAAGUUGAUUUUACAGAAAUUUCUAUAGACAUUGUAGCUAGCUGAGUUUCGGAUGAUGUUCCAAGCGCCAAAUCAAGGAGGCUGGGGAAAGCAAGCAAAAAUUAGUAGAAUCAGGAUCAUUUUUCUGUCCAUCUUUGAACGAGUAUAGUUAUGUGACCACUUUCAAAAUUGACAACUUUGCAGUUUUGUUAUAUCCUCAUUUCUUUAAACUCUUUGAAAAAACAAUUAAUGUUUUUCCUUCAAAUUUGGAAUAAGUGGGUUCUAUUUGAUUGCCAAUCCAAACUUCAUGUUUCCAGUAUGACAGAGUGGAAGAAAGGAAUGUAAAGUCAUAGAGAACUCUAAAAAGAUUGUUUAUUAAUGCAUCUUUAAAAUUUUUUUUGAUAGUUAUCAAUUCUUACAUGAACGCACAUGAGAUGUUCUUGCAAGUUCAUUUCUUGUUGGAUGAGUUUUAGUUUGCUAAACUUGAUACAAAUUAACGGUUGCAGGAGUUUCAAGAGCUGGCAGAAAAAUGCUAUUACAGGAUUUCUAGGAGAGCAGAACAUCAAAAUUGGGAAGCCAAAUGAUUUCAAUUAAUUACAACAUUUGGAAGAAUGAACUUGCUAUUUUCUUCUAGAAGAAGGUUGAGGAACCUUGUGGUGAGGACCUCCUGUUGACAUCUUAUUAGUUUUUCUGCCAAGUUGUUCAUUAUAUCUAGAAGGUGAAUCCAAUUGGACCUGAUAUCUUUACAAAGUAUCACAAUCAUAAUGGUGGAGAUUGUUCUCCUUAUGAAGUUAAAUAUCCUUCAGGAGAUGCGGAAGCAGCAAUGUCCAUCUGUAUUACUCAACACACAGGCACUUGCCAUAUCACUACCUAUAAGCAUAUCUUUGCGUUGAAGUCGGGAAAUUCAACAGAUUUAUGGAGUCAUUACCAUUAGAUUCUUCAUGCCAUGAAGCUUAUGAUGUUCUUGAUGCUAUUGAAAUUUGGAUUUUGAUUAGAUCAUGUCAAGUUAAAUGAAACCUGUUUGCUGGACCAGUUAAAUUUAUAAACUUUGUUGCUUGGUAAAAAAUGACCUUGUGGCUAGUUUUAAUAUCAAACAAAAUUUUAUCAAAAGUCUUGUGGCAAUCAAUUUCCAUGAUAGGAAAGAUCUGUUCAUUGUUUCCAUAUUUGGCAUACAAAAACAAGUAUUACUUGGUGUCU